GAUUAUCUACGGGUCCCUGGAAGCUAUUAACAUCCGCAGCAUCAGCUGGUCAAGGGCCUUAAGGCCGGUCUUCCUAAUUAACUUCCCUAAAAGUCGUCAGGGGUCUGAAAACAGCAGAGGGAUCACCUUACUUUGAAAACCUUCUGGAGAUAGCACUUGAGCUCUACGUGCUGGUCACUACAGCGAACAGCCCUGACAUCAUGUCCGCGCAUCCUCGAUCCAUGUUCAUGAACAUCUUUUACCAUAACAGAAUUUGCGCUAUUCAAAGCAGCUGUCUCCUGACUCUAGUAGGGCUGAGAGAGGACAAAGAGUGAUUUUCUGUUGAGUCCUGUUCACUGUAAAGGUUUUGAGAAAGAUAAAAGUUUACAGCACUAAUAGCCUAUCCUCUCUACUUAACACUAAAUUUAAAUGAAUUCUUUCAAAAUGGAAAGGAACAGAAGACAUCUCUUGAGAUACAAUUCUUAAUAUUUGAGCCCACUUUCGAUUCUGGAAUCUUCUUUGAGUCUUGAAAUUAAAGACAUAAGACAUCUUUGUAAAGGAAUCAUGACUGGUUCUCCUAAGCAUUGAUGCAGGUUUUUGGCUACAUCAAAUAGGAAAUAAAUGUAAACAUCAGUAAUUGCCCAAAAUGCCAAUUCUCCACACACGUGGAAACUACUUAGGAGAAAAACCUCAUGGUUUUUUCUAAUGUCUUCUUGUUGUGGAUUUACCUUAUGCAUAGGAGUAAAGUUAUUAAGUGGUACUGCACAGAGUAGCUAGUGCUCCAGCUCUAGAGAGUGGGCAGAGCCUCACUGCAAACGUCAGUCCACAUCUGCUCCAACAGUGACCUCAGAGAGGCAGGUUUUCCGUCGUCUUGUGAUGCAUAGGAUCAUCAGAUCAACUUGUUCUUGGUUGUUGCUCACUCUUGGGCCUGGGCCUGGUCCUGCUUAUGUUCUCUUGGGUCUUUCCUCAGACCCCUGUUAGCCUAGCCACCACCCCCUGAUGUCCCCUCCUGUAGGAAAUUAAGUUUCCUUUAGAGUGAGCACCUGUCACAACUUGCCCUUCCAUGAUUAUCACCGGGUACCUUUCAUGCAUUGUCCCUGCGUGGUUAGAAUACGACCUGGCCCCCAGCCAAGGCAGUUGGGUGUCCCACAGAGCCCUGAAUUUGCACUGCACAGCCCUCUUCCCAGCCAUGCUUCUUAUUCUCUUUGUAAUUCCUAGCAAGUCACUGUCCUUUCUAGGCCUCAAUUUUCUCACUGUGAAGGGAGAAAAGUGAAUUGGGAGAUCACUAAGGUCCUGCCACUGUGAAAAUUGGUGCCUCUGUAAGGUACUAAGAAUUUCAGAAGGUCAGGUGUGAAGCAAGCUGUUCAGCAUUAGGGAUGGUGAUGGCUCUGAGGCCUCAUCACACCCUAUGGGGGAGAGCGAAUGUUAGAGGAGGCUUUCCAGUACCUCCUGCACAUGGACUGUGCAUGUGGGAUAUUGCCCAAGGUCAGCCUUAUAUGCAUUGUAGAACUGAGAAGUGAAGCCAGCUGGGCUUCUGGGUUGGGUGGGGACUUGGACAACUUUCCCGUCUAGCUAAAGGAUUGUAAAUGCACCAAUCAGUGCUCUGUGUCUAGCUAAAGGUUUGUAAAUGCACCAAUCUGCACUCUGUUAAAACGGACCAAUCAGUACUCUGUAAAACGGAUCAAUCAGCACUCUGUAAAAUGGACCAAUCAGCAGGAUGUGGGUGGGGCCAAAUGAGGGAAUAAAAGCAGGCCACCUGAGCCAGGGGCAGC
rnacentral:lncRNA from 1 species